rnacentral:rRNA from 1 species
GACGAACGCUGGCGGCGUGCUUAACACAUGCCAGUCGAACGGAAAGGCCCUGCUUUUGUGGGGUGCUCGAGUGGCGAACGGGUGAGUAACACGUGAGUAACCUGCCCUUGACUUUGGGAUAACUUCAGGAAACUGGGGCUAAUACCGGAUAGGAGCUCCUGCUGCAUGGUGGGGGUUGGAAAGUUUCGGCGGUUGGGGAUGGACUCGCGGCUUAUCAGCUUGUUGGUGGGGUAGUGGCUUACCAAGGCUUUGACGGGUAGCCGGCCUGAGAGGGUGACCGGCCACAUUGGGACUGAGAUACGGCCCAGACUCCUACGGGAGGCAGCAGUGGGGAAUAUUGCACAAUGGGCGGAAGCCUGAUGCAGCAACGCCGCGUGCGGGAUGACGGGCUUCGGGUUGUAAACCGCUUUCGCCUGUGACGAAGCGUGAGUGACGGUAAUGGGUAAAGAAGCACCGGCUAACUACGUG